AGUAGAAUAACUGGGUCAAAUGGUGGUUCCAUUCCAAGUUUCUGAGAAAUCUUCAUACUGCUUUCCAGGGUGGUUUCACCAAUUUGCAGUCCCAUCAGCAAU
rnacentral:pre_miRNA from 1 species